CAAAAGAUGGUCUUAAGUUACUGGAUGACAUUACUCCUGGGUCCCUUCCCCCCAAGUCCCCUUCUCUUCACAGUAGCCACAGUCACCUCAGAACUAGACUGCGUGGACUCGUGUCCCAGCUCUGCACUCACUGCCCAGGUCACCCUGAACAAAGUGCUUAAACCCUCUGUGCCCUUGCAGUUCCUUCACCCACUAAAUAGGGAUUUGAACAAUAACAGUACCUGCAUCACAAGGCUGUUGUGAGCAUUAAAUGACCUGAUAAUGCAGAAUGCUUACCACAGUGCCUAGAACUCAGUAGGCACUCACAGUGCCCACAGGAAGCCAUAAAUGUUAGCCAGUAUUAUUACUACCCACAUUAAUAUUGUGCUUUUCUGUUUUAGUCAGUAAGUUAUCAUCAUAUCGGAGACCUGGGAGGGGCCUAUCUCAGGACACUGGGCUGGUGCUGGCAGCUGGGAGCCAAGGGGCUGGGAGACCUCUGAAAUGCAGGAGAGGAGGAUACAGUGGGCAUACUGUAAAUGCUGAAUGGAGGAAUGAGUGAAUGAAUACACAUAUCUGGUGUCUGGAGGAGAAUAAAGCCAUACCAGCAGGAGUUGACAGUUUACAUUGGGAAGGAUCAGAUGACACACUUAGCCCAUGCACUGAACAAGCCCAACGAGACACCAACUGUGGCCAUAAUCCUCACAACAUGAAGUCUGGAAUGAUUUCUUACAUGGUGAGUGAAGUAGUACCAUGUUACCUGCCACAUUCCUGGCCACAGCUGAUAAGAUCAGAG